GCAUGCGAUCAUACCAGCACUAAAGCAUCGGAUCCCAUCAGAACUCCAAAGUUAAGCGUGCUUGGGCGAGAGUAGUAAUAGGAUGGGUGACCUCCUGGGAAGUCCUCGUGUUGCAUUCC
rnacentral:rRNA from 1 species